GUGGAGGCCACAGGAGCAGAAACAUGGAAUGCCAGAUGCUGGGGAUGCUGGUACAAGUUGUGGGACUGCAUGCUACUGUCUAGAGCUUGUCUCAAUGGAUCUAGAACUUCAUCGCCCUCUGAUCGCCGAUCACCUCUGAGACCCACCUUGCUCAUAAACAAAAUGCCCAUGUUGGUCCUCUGCCCUGGACCUGUGACAUUCUGGACUAUUUCUGUGUUUAUUUGUGGCCGAGUGUAACAACCAUAUAAUAAAUCACCUCUUCCGCUGUUUUAGCUGAAGAAAAAAAAAA
rnacentral:lncRNA from 1 species